rnacentral:lncRNA from 1 species
UUUUUUAAAUUUUAUUCAUUGUUUCUAUUAUUAUUUUUAAUAGUUAUUUUCCUAAUACAAUUUUUUUUUCUACUGUACAGAAUGGUGACCCAGUUACAUGUACAUGUACACAUUCUAUUUUCUCACAUUAUCAUGCUCCAUCAUAAGUGACUAGACAUAGUUACGAGUGCUACACAGCAGGAUCUCAUUGCUAAUCCAUUUUCAUGAGUUUAAUUUUUUUGAAAGAUUUAUUGGAAUAAAAAAGUGUAUAAUAAUAUUUUGCUCAUUUCUAUGCAAACUUAAGUAGAGUUAUCAUACAAUUUAUAUUCCAAAUUCGGACACAUGGCGAGUAGAUGGGGCACUAUUAAUAAUUACAAAAUAGGUAAACCAAGUCUGUCUUAUGAAAAGUGGGACAUAUAGCCAUUCUAUUAUAAAUAAACAUACAAAAAAGAGAUGGAGAUAUCCUAAAUAGAAACCCACAGAAUUGAAAUACGAUGUGCUUAAAAGAAUCCGGAAAGAGCACUUAACUUUUACACAGAUUCUCAACUGAAAGUAAAGAGGUGGUAUGAAUCAGUAGAAGCAAAGGCUUAUCACAUUUUAAAGAGGGAGAAAUGUUCAGAAAAAUCAAGGAAUGAGAAUUGCACCUGGUUUUGAAUAGACAAUAAUAAAAUGAGGUUGAAGUUAAGAUCAGAGGCUCUUCCUAAAUCUACACAGCUGGAUUGUUUAGAUGUGCUGUUUAUAGAUAGAUAGAUAGAUAGAUAGAUAGAUAGAUAGAUAGAUAGAUAGACAGACAGACAGACAGACAGAUGAAUCUUCUAAUUCUGGAUAAGCAUUCUUUCUCUUGGUUGUCCCUGUAACGUCAUACAUUCCUGUUCUAAAUAUGAUUCAAAGUGAAGUAAAACAACAUCUCAAGUCUGAAUUUUAUUGAGAACACACUACUUUGGAUAACUCACAAAGGCAACAUGGUGCCAAGUUCUUGGUCUAACUGGAAAUGUCACAGUAGUGUCUUGUUAGAAAAGCACAUUCACAGCAUCUUCUAAGGAUGCAGUUAUUUUCAGGUAACACUGUGGAUGCUCCCUAAUCUCCUGCUGGGUGAAGACAGGAUGGUUACAUGGGAAGAUGGGGCUGAUAAUCUGUGUCACAAUUGAGUUCCUGCAGAUCCUGCUGUGCUCAGCACACUCGCCUGCUCUCCUGCAACACACUUUAUUCCCGGGAAAUCCCAGCCACAUCCCUUCCCACUCUUUCCUUAAUAAAUCAUGACCCAAUUUAUUUAUUUAAAGGCCCAUUUUCUUAUUCUAGACUGCAGAGAAUAACUGCAGUUAAUUCUUUUAUAGAGAAAAUAACUUACAUUUUCGGUUUUAUGGCUAGAAAAAAAGCAGGCAGUUGUACUUGUGAGGCUUUAGGUGGACACUAAGAGAUUUAAGGAAAAUGCAACUCUUCCCCCUCUGCUAAGUGCGAUGAAAAAACUUGACCUUUGAGGUAGGUCUGCCAAAUUUUUUUUUGAGAGGAUUAUCAAGCACCUGGAGCCAAGGAGGAGUCCUAGUCUAGCCCAGCCCAGGGAUGCUGCUGUUCCCCUUCAAACCAGUCAUGUAGACCAAUAAUCUGGCUAAUGGUAUGCCUGAAAAAGGCAUUUUUCUCUAGAAACCCACUGAUCAAUUUAUGGGUAACUCAAGCAUAUAAGAAGGUUGCACCUAUUUAAUAGUUCAUUAUUAUAUGCUAUAACAAAUAUUUUAGACUCUAAGAGUGCUAUUUUAAGAAAUCUUGGCUCUAUGUCUUUCAGAUCCAAGCUUGACAGCUAAAUCAAGAGAUUUCUGAAUUGUUGUCAUAAAAGAUAAGCACCUCUUUGAGGAGCUGCUCUAAGUUUCACUGCCCUUUAUGGAUGAUUUUGAAGGAGUGGAAAGGUAAAAAGUACAUGAAUGUCUGUGCUAACGUAUCCUACUGGGCCUGCCUAAUGUCAGGAAACACGGGUUGCCUUUUCCAAGGGCCCAGUGGCGAAAAUCUGCAACUCUGAGCUAUCCAGAGCCAAUUCAUAAGCAGAUAUAAUGUGCAUUUUGGAAGCAGCUGUAGUGUCAGGAUCAAGGACUGUUUGGUCCGGAAUUUUUAAGCAGGUCUAGGUGGCAGAGGGAUAGAACUAGUUCAUCUGCACCAGCUUUUUCAAACUCAGAGCUAAAUGGUGCCUGGAGAAGGCAUCCUCUAGUUUCCUCACUUCCCCUUCUACUAUCGGGAUUCUGUUUACCCCAUUGUUUUGUACUUGUCUUUGCCUGUGAUGCUGAACCUCCCACUUCUGAUGUAGUACACUCUGCGAUUCAAGAGAGUAGGUCUCUUUCCUGCCAAGACCACCUCAGCAUAUUGAUUAGAGGAAAGAUCAAAAAUAGUCAUGGCUUUUGAAAAUACAGUGCUUCUCUUUGAAAGGCUCCACUGAACAGCAGGGAAGAGAUUAAAAAAAAAAAAGAAAAAAGGUGAAGCAAAAGAACAUCAGAGAGAGGCAGACACACAGCUGAAAAUCUUUCUUCUCUGUUCUUGGUCUUUUUGUGUCUGUUCUUAUUUCUUUCACAGCCCACACAUUUGCUGCCUCCCCUUGUCUUUAAUUUUCACACUCUCAAUUCUUCACUCACUUUUUCUUCCUCUUUUAACCUUAGACUACCAACAGUUAAAGGACAAGAGGGCCCCCCCGUCCACAAUGACCAGCUGAAACAAACUGGUGGUAAUGAUCAAUGGUGACAGUCUCUACCAAGAGCUACACUAAUGGACUCUGACAGCAUGGUAAUAACUUGUGUAUUUAAAGAGGACACCUUCCAAGUUCACUACACAGCAUUAAGUCCUUCAUAGGAAUCAAAAUAUUGCUUUUAUGGAGGAUAAUUUAUAACAAAAAUACAACAUUAUAGAAAAUUUUAAAAAGGAAAGAAACCAUUUGCAAUUCUCUCGUUCUGUCUUAAAACUUAUCACUUCAAUCUAUUCUCUUCUAAAUUUUCCAUAUAUACAUUUUGUGCAUUUUAAAUCACAGUGCAUGCAUAAUUUUGUACCAAUUAAAAUUAUUAUUAAAAUAAUAACUGCAAAUUUCUAAGUUGGUAAAUAGUCUUCAUAGUUUCUAAAAAUUGAUUGAUUCCAGAGUUCCCAUCGUGGCUCAGUGAUUAACGAAUUCGACUAGGAACCAUGAGGUUGAGGGUUCGAUCCCUGGCCUUACUCAGUGGGUUGAGGAUCCAGCGUUGCCGUGAGCUGUGGUAUAGGUCACAGACACGGCUCGGAUCCCGAGUUGCUGUGGUGUAGGCUGGCAGCUACAGCUCCGAUUAGACCCCCCAGCCUGGGACCUCCAUAUGCCAUGGGAGUGGCCCUAGAAAAGACAAAAAAAUUUUAAAAAUUACAAAAAUUAAAAUUGUAUGAUUCCAUUGAAUGAAAUAUUUACACAGUUCACAUGAACAUUCUGUUCCAAUACUAAAUCUUUCAACCGUUUGAAUAGAACUCUGGCAAGUAUAUUCAUGCAUCUAACACUUUCACAUUUCAGAUUAUUUUUAUAGAUUAUCAUCCCAGAAGAGGUAUUAAUGUGUCAAAGGAGGUAACCACUUUAUGACACCUAACACAUAUUAUCAAAUUUCACAUCAUGGCUUUCCCUAAAAAAAAAGUUUCCAGUACCUUCCUCAUGCAAAGCGUUUUGUUAGCUUUUGAGGAAGAAAUGAGAAAAAAGAAUGUAUACAUGUAUAUGUAACUGGGUCGCCAUGCUGUACAGUAGAAAAAAAAAUUGUAUUGGGGAAAUAAGAAUAAAAAAGUUUUAAAAAAAUACACUCUUUGCCCUGAAAAUCAUGUAGUCCAUUUGGGGAAAUAAGACAUAUGCCUGUGAAGAGAGAACUAAUUAUCAACUACACAGAUUCAGAGAAGAAAGACCAAGAUCAAAUUUCGGCAGCAGUGGCUCAAGAGUUAGAUCUUUAAUUGAGUCUGAGGACAGUCCUCGGGUUGGGUGAGUUGAACUGGGAGGAUAUCCAGCUGGUAAAUAGUGUGACAAGGAAGGAAAUUAAGCAAUCUAAGGAAUUCCCUGUGACUCAAAAGCACCAUGUGAAUAAAUUUAAUUUAUUAGCCAGAUACACAUGGAUUACAAUCUCCCCAAAGGUAGUUCUGUUACCAGUAAUAGGGUUACUCAUCCUUAUCCUUGAAACUUUUUCUUCUCUUAUUACAUCUGAUGUGAUGAUAUAGAGGUUUCCCUUCUCUGCCUCUAACCAGUCCUCUUCUCUCUUUUAAGUUCCUCUAACAAUCCUUUUAAAUAAGGCAUUUCUCAAAGUCCUCCUCUAGUCCUUUUCUUCCUGUAGGUAAUGUCACUUGAUCUGCUGUCUCCAGCCAUUACUUCUUGUUGCUAACUCCUCAAUCUCUAUUUCAGGCUCUCAAUUCUCCUUUUUAGUCUGAUACAUUUCCACCUUCCACUGACAGCAUUUGAAAUCCAACAAGUCCAAAACUGAACUCUUUCUGUGUGCUCCCAAUCAUGUGAAAGAAGCUACACAGUUCAGAAGCAACAUCAUCUUUGAUAUUUGUUUCAUCCUCACAGUUCACAUUCAAUCAAGUUUCCAAAUUUGGCCCCAGCCUCACAGUGGAUCCCAAUUUCUUCUUACUGUAGGCCAUAAAAAUCUCUCACCUAGAAUACUGUGAGGAUUCCUUUCUGAUCUGAUUGCCUCCAGCCUCAUCCCCUUCGAUCUGUGCUCUACCCCAUUACCAGGUACCUUCCUAAAGCACAUAACCGAUUGUGUCACUUGUCUAUGUAAGGACUUCCAAUAGGUGCAGUCACCUGGAAGAGUGAAUUCCAGAUACAUUAACUUAUCUCCUCUGGUCCUUUAUGACUUGGGCCCACUCUACUUCUCUAAUUCCAUCUCCCCACACUACACCUGUCUACACACACCUACCCACCCACACACACACUGCACUUUGGACCAUUUAAAAUUCACUGAAAACAAACAUGGACUUUAACCCAGAUGAACAUUUUCUUCUGCAGUUUCCUUUGAGUUGAACACUCUCACACACUCUGGUCUACUGAAACCUGAUAUGU